rnacentral:piRNA from 1 species
AAAGGAAGAAACUCUGAACACCAGAGGGGACA